UACGGAGGGGGCUAGCGUUGUUCGGAAUUACUGGGCGUAAAGCGCGCGUAGGCGGACCUGCAAGUCGGGGGUGAAAGCCCGAGGCUCAACCUCGGAACUGCCUUCGAUACUGGCGGUCGUCGAGGUCCGGGAGAGGUGAGUGGAAUUCCUAGUGUAGAGGUGAAAUUCGUAGAUAUUAGGAAGAACACCAGUGGCGAAGGCGGCUCACUGGCCCGGUACUGACGCUGAGGCGCGAAAGCGUGGGGAGCAAACAGG
rnacentral:rRNA from 1 species